rnacentral:lncRNA from 1 species
CUUUUUAGGGCUGAGCCGAGGGCAUAUAGAAGUUCUCAGGCUAAGGUUCCAAUCAGAGCUGCAGCUACUGGCCUAUGCCAUAGUCACAGCAAUGCUAGAUCUUUAACCCACUGAGUGAGGCCAGGUAUUGAACCUGAGUCCUCAGGGAUACUAGUUGGGCUCGUUACUGCUGAGCCAUGGAGGAAGAUCUCUGGUCUUUAGAUUUUUUUUUAAUAGAGUUGGUUGCUUCUCAAGUCUCUAGGUACGUGCUAUUGAUUGGUUUUAUGAGCUACUGCUUGAUGGGAGCAAAGGUAUUUCAAACUUUGGAGACAGACAUUCAGGAAAAGUUGAAGAAUUCCUUUCUGGAUGCCGAAACAGCUUUAAUGAAGAACUAUGUCAAUAUAACUCCAGAAGAACUUGAAAUCUUUUUGCAGAUGCUGGCUUUGUCUAUAAAACAUGGAAUAAUCCCCGUAAGAACUGGAGUUGUUUAUUUUAGUUGGAGUUUUAGGAACUCUUUCUCAUUUGUGGCAUCCACAUUAAGUACAAUAGGUAUAAAUCCUUCUCAGAAUUAUUCACACAUUUACAUGGCAAUAAUCAUGCUUUGGUGUGCCUUUGGCCUUACUUGGAUUGCUCUUCUGUUUGAUUUGUUUUCAAAAACAUUGGAGAAAACUAAAACAAAACUUACUUGCCAUAAGUUAUGCCAAACAGAAAGAAAGUCAUCUGGGAAAAGUUCAUAUAUCGGGCCCUUUUUUGCAUAAAUAAUCAAAAAGAGUAUCUCAAGCUUUUUUUAUUUUUAGAAACUGUGAGACAAGUUAAUGCAAAAGCGAAUAAACAUUGUUUUAUUAACCUGCCA